rnacentral:rRNA from 1 species
AUGGCGGACUGGUCGGCUCUUCCGUCGGACCUCGUCCGCAGCGUCGCCGACCGCCUGCUCGCCGCGGCAAGCGACGUCGACUACUACAUGCACAUGCGCGCCGUCUGCCACGGCUGGCGCCUGGCCACGGCCGAUCCAUGCGGCGGUGCUGGCCUCCUCCGUUUCCGUCCCCGGCACUGGAUCAUGCUGGACGACGGCGAGGUGGAGCAGCCGGUCCAUGACGAGGGCGGUGUCCGCCUCUUCCUCAACGUGGCCACCGGCCGCGUGCUCCGCCGGCGCGUCCCGCAGCUCCGGGACCAUGUCCUCGUCGCCGCCUCCGACGGCCUCCUCGUCCUGGGCGACAAGAAGUAUCCGCACCGUGCCAGCGUCCUCAACCCUUUGACGGGCUCCUUGGUCCGCUUCGCCGCCGCCAUACCCCGCGUGAACCGGGUGCGAGCAGCGGUGACCGGCUCCGAGGACGAUCGGUCCCUCUCGCUUGUCUUCUCCUUCUACCACGACCCCUACAGCGACGCUAUCACGUGCGCGCACCCGACAGCCGCCCGACUCUCGCCGGUGCAGCUCCCAUACUACGUCGGUGCCGGCCCCUUCCACAGCUUGAAGCAAGAGAACAUGGUCGCCUACCGAGGACACGUCUACGUGGCCGACCGCGACGGGCUGAUUGUCAGGUUCGUCGUCCCGUCGGCGCAGCACAACCAGCACUGCCACGCCAAACUCAUAGUCUCGGCCGUACCUUCAUCGGAGAACACCGGUCGCUUCGGCCGAGCUUUUCUCGUGGCGUCCGGCGGGGAUCUGCUGCUCGUCCGUCUGUAUCACCUCCGGCGACGGCGGGCCGUGGAGGUCUUCAGGGUCGACGUGGAGCGGAAGGCGCCGCUGGAGCGCGUGAGGAGCAUCGGCCGCCACGCGCUCUUCCUUGGCGGCAGGUGUGUGUCUGUCAACGCCAGUGAGCUUCCUUCCGUCGACGGCGAAUGCGUGUACCUCGCCUCGGAGAGCGGCAAUGUUGCUUGGAGGUACGAUCUCCGAGACGGCGGCGAGACGAUGAUCUCGGGCUUUGAUGCUCGGCCGUUUGGCUUGGUUCAGGUGCUGCUCAACUACUGCGUCGUGCUACCCGAUGCAAAGGCUCAGCUUCACUCUGUCUACAGGACGGAGUGUUUGCUAUCGGUUCAGAGUUCAGAGUCAGACUAA